UGAGACACCUCCUCAGUGUGCUACAUAAG
rnacentral:piRNA from 1 species